rnacentral:rRNA from 1 species
AAUGAACGUUGGCGGCGUGGAUUAGGCAUGCAAGUCGAGCGAGAACCCAGCAAUGGGGGACAGCGGCGCAAGGGACAGUAAUGUGUAGAUCAUCUGCCCUCAGGCCCGGGAUAGCUGCGGGAAACUGCAGGUAAUACCGGAUAACAUCUCCGGAUCAAAGGUGUGAUUCCGCCUGAGGAUGAGUCUACACCCUAUUAGCUAGUUGGCAGGGUAACGGCCUACCAAGGCGAUGAUGGGUAGCGGGUGUGAGAGCACGACCCGCGUGAUUGGGACUGAGACACUGCCCAGAAACCUACGGGUGGCUGCAGUCGAGAGUCUUCGGCAAUGGGCGCAAGCCUGACCGAGCGACGCCGCGUGCGGGAUGAAGGCCUUCGGGUUGUAAACCGCUGUCAGAGGGGAUGAAAUACAGGUGGGUUCUCCCAUCUGUUUGACAUAGCCUCAGAGGAAGGACGGGCUAAGUUCGUGCCAGCCGCCGCUGUAAUAC